rnacentral:misc_RNA from 1 species
UACGUAGGUGGCGAACGUUAUCCGGAAUUACUGGGCGUAAAGGGUCCGCAGGCGGAUGGGCAAGUCUGGCGUGAAAGCUCCCGGCUCAACUGGGAGAAGCCGUUGGAAACUGCUCGUCUUGAAUCACGCAGAGGUCGGUGGAAUUCCCGGUGUAGUGGUGGAAUGCGUAGAGAUCGGGAGGAAUCUCGAAAGCGAAGGCAGCCGGCUGGGUGAUGAUUGACGCUGAGGGACGAAAGCGUGGGGAGCGAACAGG